rnacentral:rRNA from 1 species
GACGGGGGGUGCAAGCGUUGUUCGGAAUCAUUGGGCGUAAAGCGUGUGCAGGUGGCUCUGCAAGUCAGAUGUGAAAGCCCCGGGCUUAACCCGGGAAGUGCAUUUGAAACUGCAAAGCUUGAGUAUGGAAGAGGGUCGUGGAAUUCCUGGUGUAGUGGUGAAAUACGUAGAUAUCAGGAGGAACACCGGUGGCGAAGGCGGCGACCUGGUCCAAUACUGACACUCAUACACGAAAGCGUGGGGAUCAAACAGG